UCUGGCCUCUUAUAGAUCGUCUGACAGACGUCGUACCAGAUGAGUGUGUGCCAGAGAACUUCACGUGCCCAUCAACAGAGUACAAUGCUACUGACAUCUGCAGAGGAGCUAACAGCUCUUACCUGCUCGCUCACCUGAACACAUCAAUGGAAGUUCCCUGCGGUUUGGCCUU